GAUGAACGCUGGCGGCGUGCCUAAUACAUGCAAGUCGAACGCUGGAAAUCUAGCUUGCUAGAUUGAAGGAGUGGCGAACGGGUGAGUAAUACAUAAGCAACCUACCCACGAAGACUGGGAUAAUCUCUGGAAACGGGGACUAAUACCGGAUAGGUAAUCGGAAGGCAUCUUCUGAUCAUUAAAGGUUAAAAACACUGGUGGAUGGGCUUAUGGCGCAUUAGUUAGUUGGUGAGGUAACGGCCCACCAAGACGAUGAUGCGUAGCCGGCCUGAGAGGGUGAACGGCCACAUUGGGACUGAGACACGGCCCAGACUCCUACGGGAGGCAGCAGUAGGGAAGUUUCGGCAAUGGGGGAAACCCUGACCGAGCAACGCCGCGUGAGUGAUGACGGCCUUCGGGUUGUAAAGCUCUGUUGUAAGGGAAGAACGGUAGAUAGAGAAUAUCUAAAUGACGGUACCUUACCAGAAAGCCACGGCUAACUACGUG
rnacentral:rRNA from 1 species